UACGUAGGGUGCGAGCGUUAACCGGAAUUACUGGGCGUAAAGCGUGCGCAGGCGGUUCGUUGUGUCGGUGGUGAAAGCCCCGGGCUUAACCUGGGAAUGGCCAUGGAAACUGGCGAACUGGAGUGUGGCAGAGGGGGGUGGAAUUCCGCGUGUAGCAGUGAAAUGCGUAGAGAUGCGGAGGAACACCGAUGGCGAAGGCAGCCCCCUGGGCUAGCACUGACGCUCAGGCACGAAAGCGUGGGGAGCAAACAGG
rnacentral:rRNA from 1 species